AUGGAUAAUCUGCUGCAUAAAUCUGUCUUCUCCUGUUUUAUAAAGCUUCCUAUCCAUGCAAUUUGGAAACUUGUAUCGACAGUGAAAGCCAAGAGGAUUCAAGAAAAGGUGGUCUUGCCUUGGAUUUUUCUCUGGAGAAUUCAAUUUGGAGAUGAGGUGAUUGCUUCAAUCUGCUAUCAGUUGAACAGCAUGGAUGGAAAGGAUGUGGAGAUGAAAUUUGCAACACAGGCUUUACAAAUGACUUGCCAUUUAAAGCAUCUAAAUGAGAAGCUCCAGUAUCAUCCCUCCCCUGUCCUGACUCCAGUCAUACAAGAACCCUGUAGAGGACUGUAAAAGCACAGUGAGUUUUUGACUUCCAGAUGAAAGACAACAAAAAUUGUGAUUAAAUCAAAUUAGUUUGUCUUACUAGAAACCAGUUUUUUUUCUUCUAUGAAAGCAAAUUUAUUCUCAGUGUAUUGAGGGCUGUUUAAGUUACACCUAAAGCAAAGCAAGCAAGCAGUGGAGAAGCCUGUUUUGACAGAAGGAUCAUAUAUUAACCCUUUUGGACCCAAACUGAACUGCUGUAGAAAGCUUUGUCCAGAUUAAAAUAUUAUCAAUGAUAUGGCUCAGGAAAAUACCUCUUGUUGUAAUGUAUAAAUAAAUUCUUAUGAGAUUAACA
rnacentral:lncRNA from 1 species